rnacentral:rRNA from 1 species
UACAGAGGGUGCAAGCGUUGUUCGGAAUUACUGGGCGUAAAGCGUGCGUAGUCGGUAUUGAGAGUCGCGGGUGAAAUCCCCAAGCUUAACUUGGGAACUGCCUGCGAGACCUCAGUACUAGAGUGUGAGAGGGGAUAGUGGAAUACCCAGUGUAGCGGUGAAAUGCGCAGAUAUCGGGAGGAACACCUAUGGCGAAGGCAGCUCGCUGGGACGUUACUGACGCUGAGACGCGAAAGCGUGGGGAGCAAACAGG